CACUCCUACGGGAGGCAGCAGUGGGGAAUAUUGGACAAUGGGCGCAAGCCUGAUCCAGCCAUGCCGCGUGAGUGAUGAAGGCCCUAGGGUUGUAAAGCUCUUUCACCGGUGAAGAUAAUGACGGUAACCGGAGAAGAAGCCCCGGCUAACUUCGUGCCAGCAGCCGCGGUAAUACGAAGGGGGCUAGCGUUGUUCGGAUUUACUGGGCGUAAAGCGCACGUAGGCGGACUAUUAAGUCAGGGGUGAAAUCCCGGGGCUCAACCCCGGAACUGCCUUUGAUACUGGUAGUGUUGAGUUCGAGAGAGGUGAGUGGAAUUCCGAGUGUAGAGGUGAAAUUCGUAGAUAUUCGGAGGAACACCAGUGGCGAAGGCGGCUCACUGGCUCGAUACUGACGCUGAGGUGCGAAAGCGUGGGGAGCAAACAGGAUUAGAUACCCUAGUAGUCCCAUGA
rnacentral:rRNA from 1 species